rnacentral:rRNA from 1 species
GAUGAACGCUGGCGGCGUGCCUAAUACAUGCAAGUAGAACGCUGAAGGAAGGAGCUUGCUCUUUCCGGAUGAGUUGCGAACGGGUGAGUAACGCGUAGGUAACCUGCCUGGUAGCGGGGGAUAACUAUUGGAAACGAUAGCUAAUACCGCAUAACAGUAGAUGUUACAUGAUAUCUACUUAAAAGGUGCAAUUGCACCACUACCAGAUGGACCUGCGUUGUAUUAGCUAGUUGGUGAGGUAACGGCUCACCAAGGCGACGGUACAUAACCGACCUGAGAGGGGGAACGGCCACACUGGGACUUGAACACGGCCCAAACUUCUACGGGGAGCAGCAGUAGGGGAUCUUCGGGAAUGGACGGAAGUCUGGACGGGCAAAGCCGGGGUGGUGAAGGAGGUUUUCGGAUCGUAAAGCUCUGUUGUAUAGGGAAGAAGAAUUGGGGAGUUGAAAGUUCACACUGUGACGGUAUCUAACCAGAAAGGGACGGCUAACUACGUG